GACGAACGCUGGCGGCGUGCUUAACACAUGCAAGUCGAACGGAAAGGCCCUGCUUUUGUGGGGUGCUCGAGUGGCGAACGGGUGAGUAACACGUGAGUAACCUGCCCUUGACUUUGGGAUAACUUCAGGAAACUGGGGCUAAUACCGGAUAGGAGCUCCUGCUGCAUGGUGGGGGUUGGAAAGGUUCGGCGGUUGGGGAUGGACUCGCGGCUUAUCAGCUUGUUGGUGGGGUAGUGGCUUACCAAGGCUUUGCCGGGUAGCCGGCCUGAGAGGGUGACCGGCCACAUUGGGACUGAGAUACGGCCCAGACUCCUACGGGAGGCAGCAGUGGGGAAUAUUGCACAAUGGGCGGAAGCCUGAUGCAGCAACGCCGCGUGCGGGAUGACGGCCUUCGGGUUGUAAACCGCUUUCGCCUGUGACGAAGCGUGAGUGACGGUAAUGUGUAAAGAAGCACCGGCUAACUACGUG
rnacentral:rRNA from 1 species